GCGUAAUAGCUCACUGGUCGAGUCGGCCUGCGCGGAAGAUGUAACGGGGCUAAACCAUGCACCGAAGCUGCGGCAGCGACACUAUGUGUUGUUGGGUAGGGGAGCGUUCUGUAAGCCUGCGAAGGUGACCUGUGAGGGUUGCUGGAGGUAUCAGAAGUGCGAAUGCUGACAUAAGUAACGAUAAAGCGGGUGAAAAGCCCGCUCGCCGGAAGACCAAGGGUUCCUGUCCAACGUUAAUCGGGGCAGGGUGAGUCGACCCCUAAGGCGAGGCCGAAAGGCGUAGUCGAUGGGAAACAGGUUAAUAUUCCUGUACUUGGUGUUACUGCGAAGGGGGGACGGAGAAGGCUAUGUUAGCCGGGCGACGGUUGUCCCGGUUUAAGCAUGUAGGCUGGUUAUCCAGGCAAAUCCGGAUAAUCAAGGCUGAGGUGUGAUGACGAGGCACUACGGUGCUGAAGUAACAAAUGCCCUGCUUCCAGGAAAAGCCUCUAAGCAUCAGGUAACAUCAAAUCGUACCCCAAACCGACACAGGUGGUCAGGUAGAGAAUACCAAGGCGCUUGAGAGAACUCGGGUGAAGGAACUAGGCAAAAUGGUGCCGUAACUUCGGGAGAAGGCACGCUGGUGUGUAGGUGAAG
rnacentral:rRNA from 1 species